GUUCAGACAAGCUAUAAUCGCACUAGGAGGGUCGGAACAUCAGUUAUUCAUCGGUCAUUUGAAUCCCACUACUUUUAUUUCGUUUAUGAACGAACAUGAAGAUAUGAAAAAGAGUCUGUUUGCUAUAUUACAACGUGUUUUACAGAUGGCCCUGAAACAGUUUCAGUUUAUACGACGCAGUUGUCGUUCACCUGGUAAUGAGGAACAAUUGAUGUCCGACAUUCGAUGUUCUGCCACCUGUUACCCAUGUUGCACGUUGAAAUGGAGAAAGUCCGAUAUCCUUGUCAACCACAACAGUGUUCUGUCACUAGGCUCCCUCCAGAAGGGCGAAGAGGGACGCUACGCUUGCACUGCAUCAAAUCCGGAGUUGAAUGUAACCACCGAAAGUCCGAUUGUCGUCAUUGUGAUAAGAAAAUUAAGAUGUACAUGCAUGCAGACCCGCGCAAUACCAAUGUCAAUACACUUAUCAAGAUGCAUACGCUAAUCAGGCAUACAGCAGAACCACUGGAUUUGAAAAUUACCAGCAUUUUGGAACUGAAAAUAGUCAGCCCAUUUAUGAACGAAUAGGUAAAGGCAUCUAAAGUUGACAAUGACUGAUAUGAAAUUGGAAUAGGACGUAUCCCGUAUGCUCCUAGGACACGUCAAGUGAUGUUGUACGGUUGAAAAUAAAAACAUAGACAUAUCUGUAUUUCGACAUAUCAACUUACUUACUCGAUUUAUUUUAUAUGUUUAUUGUGCUUGAAUGUAACUGUUGUUUGCAAUGAACAUGUGAUUUAAACUCCCAUCGUGAAAUGUCAAUGAACAUUUAUUGACAUUACGUUUGGUUCAUUAGAAUGAUACUCGUGAGUGCAGUUAACGCUUUACGUGAUUUGGUGUAAGUUAUUUGAACGCUAUCCGUGAUUGCAAUGAACGCUUGCUGUGAUUUAGUUUUGUCAGUUAUUUGAACGCUAACCUUGAUCAUAACGAAAGGAAAUCGUUAUUUAGUUUGAGAUAU